UACGGAGGGUGCAAGCGUUAUUCGGAUUCACUGGGUUUAAAGGGUGCGUAGGCGGGCAGGUAAGUCCGUGGUGAAAUCUCUGAGCUUAACUCAGAAACUGCCAUGGAUACUAUUUGUCUUGAAUAUUGUGGAGGUGAGCGGAAUAUGUCAUGUAGCGGUGAAAUGCUUAGAUAUGACAUAGAACACCAAUUGCGAAGGCAGCUCACUACACAGUCAUUGACGCUGAGGCACGAAAGCGUGGGGAUCAAACAGG
rnacentral:rRNA from 1 species